AGAUACAGAAUCUCACUAUGUUGCCCAGGCUGGUCUUGAACUCCUGGCUUGAACAGUCGUCAUGCUGCCUCAGCCCUCACCCUCCUGGAUAGCUGGGACUGCAGGCACGCACCACCGUGCCAGCCAAGACUUGCUUUUAAGCCUUGUCAGGAGGGACCACAGGAGACUUUAGAGUAAGCUGAAUUGGGCUGCAUUACUGAGACAAUACUCAGAGUGUUCUACUCAGUGCCCGAUGAAUUAGAAGGUUUUCAACUGUGGUUGGUGGCCACAGGGGCUAUUCUCUGGCUGGUGGGAGCUCUAGGAAUGGUUCCCUCUAAUCUUUUUGGGUGAUUCUUUUUCUGGCCUCAUUUCUUUUCCUCACAUGCAUGUGCUGAUCAAUACUUUGCUGAAGACCCAAAGAUGACACUCUGCAGAGCCCAGAGUUCUCUCCGUGUGCAGCUUUCUUCUCUCCAGUAUUCUCUCCUUGAAGAAACUGAGAUAGGAGAAGGGAUGGUGCCUGAGUCUGCGGCAGACCCUGAACUGGGCCACAUCUCCCAACUUGAGAUUGAAGUCGCUUUGAAAGCAGAGCACAUGAAUCCGGGCAACGUGACUUAAGAGCUGGCUGAUGUUCCAGGACAGCACAAAAGAACGGAACUUGUUUUCAUGCUAUGAGUGCGCAAACCAAUGGGCAGUUUUUGGGGUUACUCGUGAUUGCUCCUCGGUCCAGAGUUCAGGCAGCAAUCUGAGCCACUCAACUGCUCUUCUUUACCCCUCUACCUCUGCAGUUCAUUGGGGGACAGAGCUGGGCCAGGAUCCUGGGACAGAAGGAGGAGGCGGGCCCAGGAAAGUCCACUUGGGGUAACACACAAUUUGUACAUAAAAAAGAAAUGUUCACCUCUUUGUAUGU